rnacentral:rRNA from 1 species
GUGACCUCAAAUCAGGUAGGACUACCCGCUGAACUUAAGCAUAUCAAUAAGCGGAGGAAAAGAAACUAACAAGGAUUCCCCUAGUAACUGCGAGUGAAGCGGGAAAAGCUCAAAUUUAAAAUCUGUCAGUCUUUGGCUGUCCGAGUUGUAAUCUAGAGAAGUGUUAUCUGCGUUGGACCGUGUACAAGUCUCCUGGGAUGGAGCGUCAUAGAGGGUGAGAAUCCCGUCUUUGACACGGACUACCAA